rnacentral:rRNA from 1 species
CCUACGGGAGGCAGCAGUGAGGAAUAUUGGUCAAUGGGCGUAAGCCUGAACCAGCAAAGCCGCGUGCGGGAUGAAGGUUCUAUGAAUCGUAACCCUCUUUUAUACGGGGAUAAAGUCUGGUACGUGUCUUAUUUUGUAUGUAUCUUACGAAUAAGGAUCGGCUAACUCCGUGCCAGCAGCCGCGGUAAUACGGAGGAUCAAAGCGUUAUCCGGAUUUAUUGGGUUUAAAGGGUGCGUAGGCGGACUUUUAAGUUAGCGGUGAAAGUCCGUGGCUCAACUAUAGAAUUGCCGUUGAAACUGGGGGGCUUGAGUAUGGUUGAGGCAGGCGGAAUGCGUGGUGUAGCGGUGAAAUGCUUAGAUAUCACGCAGAACCCCGAUUGCGAAGGCAGCCUGCCAAGCCAUGACUGACGCUGAUGCACGAAAGCGUGGGGAUCAAACAGGAUUAGAUACCCCAGUAGUC